UGGGACAUAGCUCAGGGUCAGAGCACUUGACUGCAGAUCUAGAGGUCCCUGGUUCAAGUCCAGAUGUUCCCU
rnacentral:tRNA from 1 species